rnacentral:rRNA from 1 species
GAUGAACGCUGGCGGCGUGCCUAAUACAUGCAAGUCGAGCGAACAGACGAGGAGCUUGCUCCUCUGACGUUAGCGGCGGACGGGUGAGUAACACGUGGAUACCCUACCUAUCAGACUGGGAUAACUUCGGGAAACCGGAGCUAAUACCGGAUAAUAUAUUGAACCGCAUGGUUCAAUAGUGAAAGACGGUUUUGCUGUCACUUAUAGAUGGAUCCGCGCCGCAUUAGCUAGUUGGUAAGGUAACGGCUUACCAAGGCGACGAUGCGUAGCCGACCUGAGAGGGUGAUCGGCCACACUGGAACGGAGACACGGUCCAGACUCCUACGGGAGGCAGCAGUAGGGAAUCUUCCGCAAUGGGCGAAAGCCUGACGGAGCAACGCCGCGUGAGUGAUGAAGGUCUUCGGAGCGUAAAACUCUGUUAUGAGGGAAGAACAAAUGUGUAAGUAACUAUGCACGUCUUGACGGUACCUAAUCAGAAAGCCACGGCUAACUACGUG